rnacentral:sRNA from 1 species
CUCUUUCCAGCCGCCGCCUGGGAGGGGACCCGGGCUGCCAGGCACCCAGCUGUGCCCAGAUGGAUGGGACAGAGACCCGGCAGCGGAGGCUGGACAGCUGUGGCAAGCCAGGGGAGCUGGGGCUUCCUCACCCCCUCAGCACAGGAGGACUCCCUGUAGCCUCAGAAGAUGGAGCUCUCAGGGCCCCUGAGAGCCAAAGCGUGACCCCCAAGCCACUGGAGACUGAGCCUAGCAGGGAGACCGCCUGGUCCAUAGGCCUUCAGGUGACCGUGCCCUUCAUGUUUGCGGGCCUGGGACUGUCCUGGGCCGGCAUGCUUCUGGACUAUUUCCAGGCCAACAUUGGACAAAUCGAUGACCCCCAGGAGCAGCACAGAGUCAUCAGCAGCAACCUGGCCCUCAUCCAGGUGCAGGCCACUGUCGUGGGGCUCUUGGCUGCUGUGGCUGCGCUGCUGUUGGGCGUGGUGUCUCAAGAGGAAGUGGAUGUCACCAAGGUGGAGUUGCUGUGUGCCAGCAGUGUCCUCACUGCCUUCCUUGCAGCCUUUGCCCUGGGCAUUUCCACUGAUGGGAACAGCCUUUUGGUUAUUGUCAUCACUUAAACCAGGGCCAGGCUUAUAACCAGCUUGCAGAUGUUCGCUGAAUGAAUGGACUCU